UACGUAGGGGGGCUAGCGUUGUCCGGAAUCAUUGGGCGUAAAGAGCGUGUAGGCGGUCCGGUAAGUCCGCUGUGAAAGUCGGGGGCUCAACCCUCGAAUGCCGGUGGAUACUGUCGGGCUAGAGUGCGGAAGAGGCGAGUGGAAUUUCUGGUGUAGCGGUGAAAUGCGCAGAUAUCAGGAGGAACACCAACGGCGAAGGCAGCUCUCUGGGACGUUACUGACGCUGAGACGCGAAAGCGUGGGGAGCAAACAGG
rnacentral:rRNA from 1 species